UACGUAGGCAGCAAGCGUUGUUCGGAAUUACUUGGCGUAAAGAGUGUGUAGGCGGUGCUCUAAGUUUGGUGUGAAAUCUCCCGGCUUAACUGGGAGGGUGCGCCGAAAACUGGAAUGCUUGAACAUGGGAGAGGAAAGCGGAAUUCCUGGUGUAGCGGUGAAAUGCGUAGAUAUCAGGAGGAACACCUGCGGUGUAGACGGCUUUCUGGACCAUUGUUGACGCUGAGACACGAAAGCGUGGGUAGCAAACAGG
rnacentral:rRNA from 1 species